UGUUGCUUGCAAGGGCGUAUGGUGGAUGCCUUGGCAGACAGGACCGAUGAAGGACGUUUGAGGCUGCGAUAUGCCUCGGGGAGCCGCCAACAGGGCUUUGAUCCGAGGAUUUCCGAAUGGGGGAACCCACCGACCGUCAUGGGUCGGUACCGGCUUCGGCCGGGGGGUACGCAGGGAAGUGAAACAUCUCAGUACCUGCAGGAAAGGAUAUUCCGUGAGUAGUGGCGAGCGAAAGCGGAUGAUGGCCAAACCUUGCGCGUGUGAUACCCGUCGGGGGUUGCGCGCGGGGUGUUGCGGGAUCGCGUGCGCCGGCUCCGACGGGCCGGCCGGCAGUUGCAGAAAACCAUGUGUCAGGGGAACCGGGUUGAAUACCGGGCCGCAGAGGGUGAGGGCCCCGUACCUGAACGCGCAUGGUCUGCCGAUCGCGUCUCCCAAGUAGCACGGGUCCCGUGGAACCCCGUGCGAAUCCGCCCAGACCGUUGGGUAAGCCUGAAUAUUCCUGUCUGACCGAUAGCGAACGAGUACCGUGAGGGAAAGGUGAAAAGUACCCCGGGAGGGGAGUGAAACAGUCUCUGAAACCGUGCGCCUACAAUCCGUCGGAGCCCUUUUGUGGGGUGACGGCGUGCCUAUCGAAAAAUGAGUCUGCGAGUCAGUGGCAUGUGGCGAGCAUAACCCGUGUGGGGUAUGCGUAGCGAAGGCGAGUCUUAAAAGGCGUUUGAGUCGCGUGUCCUGGACCCGAAGCGGGAUGAUCUAGCCCUGAGCAGGUUGAAGCGCGGGUAAGACCGCGUGGAGGACCGAACCCACCUGGGUUGAAAACCGGGGGGAUGACUUGGGGCUAGGGGUGAAAGGCCAAUCAAAUUCCGUGAUAGCUGGUUCUCUCCGAAAUGCAUUUGGGUGCAGCGUCGGGUCAUUACGUCCCGGGGGUAGAGCUACUGGAUGCUUGCGGGCCCGUAUCGGGUACCAACAGCAACCAAACUCCGAAUACCGGUGACGCGUAUCCCGGCAGUGAGUCGGCGGGGGAUAAGCUUCGUCGUCGAAAGGGAAACAGCCCAGACCGUCGUCUAAGGUCCCGAAGCGUGUGCUAAGUGGGAAAGGAUGUGGAGUCGCAUAGACAGCCAGGAGGUUGGCUCAGAAGCAGCCACCCUUGAAAGAGUGCGUAACAGCUCACUGGUCUAGUGGUUCCGCGCCGACAAUGUAGCGGGGCUCAAGCACACCACCGAAGACGCGGCAGUAUUUUGUACUGGGUAGGAGAGCGUCCCAUGAGGGGCGAAGCGGCCGUGUGAACGCGCCGUGGACUUCAUGGGAGUGAGAAUGCAGACAUGAGUAGCGAGAGACGGGUGAAGAUCCCGUCCGCUGGAUGACCAAGGGUUCCAGGGCCACGUUCAUCGUCCCUGGGUGAGUCGGGUCCUAAGGCGAGGCCGACAGGCGUAGUCGAAUGGAUGAACGGGUCGAUAUUCCCGUACCGGCUUUCAGCCGCCAAAACCGAGGCUUGGAGUACUAACCUCCGGGUCCGGGCUUACUGCUCCUUCGGGGGCGGGAUGCCCUGGCCUGUUGGGACCGAUCCUUGUAGUAGGUCAGCGCAGGAGUGACGCAGAAGGGUAGCCGGCCGCGGAGGUGGUCUUCCGUGGUCAAGCACGCAGGGCGUGGGACAGGCAAAUCCGUCCCGCAUGGGUCCGAGGUGCGAUGAUGGGGGCCUUAUGGCCCGAUAUCCGGUGAUCCCGGCUGCCGAGAAAAGCUUCGGCGUCAGGCUCAAAGCCGCCCGUACCCCAAACCGACACUGGUGGUCAGGUAGAGAAUACCAAAGCGAUCGAGCGAAUCCUGGUCAAGGAACUCGGCAAAUCACUCCCGUUCCUUCGGUUUAAGGGAGACCCCCGAUGGUGAACACACUUGCUGUGGGAGCUUUUGGGGGUGGCACAGACCAGGGGGUAGCGACUGUUUACCAAAAACACAGGUGCAUGCGAAGGCGCAAGCCGCUGUAUAUGCACUGACGCCUGCCCGGUGCCGGAAGGUUAAGAGGAUCCGUCAGCCUUCGGGUGAAGCGGUGAAUUCAAGCCCCGGUAAACGGCGGUGGUAACUAU
rnacentral:rRNA from 1 species